rnacentral:rRNA from 1 species
UACAGAGGUGGCAAGCGUUGUUCGGAUUUACUGGGCGUAAAGGGCGCGCAGGCGGUCGUUCAAGUCGCGUGUGAAAGCCCCCGGCUCAACUGGGGAGGGUCACGCGAUACUGAUCGACUCGAAGGCAGGAGAGGGUAGUGGAAUUCCCGGUGUAGUGGUGAAAUGCGUAGAUAUCGGGAGGAACACCAGUGGCGAAGGCGACUACCUGGCCUGUUUCUUGACGCUGAGGCGCGAAAGCUAGGGGAGCAAACGGG